rnacentral:tRNA from 1 species
CGGAGCAGUAGCGCAAGGGUGGGUCAGCGCACCUGAUUUGGGAUCAGGAGGCUGCCGGUUCGAGUCCGGUCACUCGGACCA